UACGUAGGGUGCAAGCGUUAAUCGGAAUUACUGGGCGUAAAGCGUGCGCAGGCGGUUUUGUAAGCCAGAUGUGAAAGCCCCGGGCUUAACCUGGGAACUGCGCUUGUGACUGCAUAACUCGAGUGUGGCAGAGGGGGGUGGAAUUCCACGUGUAGCAGUGAAAUGCGUAGAGAUGUGGAGGAACACCGAUGGCGAAGGCAGCCCCCUGGGAUAACACUGACGCUCAUGCACGAAAGCGUGGGGAGCAAACAGGAUUAGAUACCCGAGUAGU
rnacentral:rRNA from 1 species